rnacentral:tmRNA from 1 species
GGGGCUGAUUCUGGAUUCGACGGGAUUUGCGAAACCCAAGGUGCAUGCCGAGGGGGGGUUGGCCUCGUAAAAAGCCGCAAAAAAAUAGUCGCAAACGACGAAAACUACGCUUUAGCAGCUUAAUAACCUGCUUAGAGCCCUCUCUCCCUAGCCUCCGCUCUUAGGACGGGGAUCAAGAGAGGUCAAACCCAAAAGAGAUCGCGCGGAUGCCCUGCCUGGGGUUGAAGCGUUAAAACGAAUCAGGCUAGUCUGGUAGUGGCGUGUCCGUCCGCAGGUGCCAGGCGAAUGUAAAGACUGACUAAGCAUGUAGUACCGAGGAUGUAGGAAUUUCGGACGCGGGUUCAACUCCCGCCAGCUCCACCA